rnacentral:rRNA from 1 species
UACGAAGGGGGCGAGCGUUGUUCGGAUUUACUGGGCGUAAAGGGCGCGUAGGCGGGUUCUCAAGUCUGUGGUGAAAUCCCCCGGCUCAACCGGGGAACUGCCGUGGAUACUGGGGAUCUCGAGGGGUGUAGGGGCAUGCGGAACUCAGGGUGGAGCGGUGAAAUGCGUAGAUAUCCUGAGGAACGCCGGUGGCGAAAGCGGCGUGCUGGACACCUUCUGACGCUGAGGCGCGAAAGCCAGGGGAGCAAACGGG